UCUACUUCUUCCUCUUGAUCAGGAAACUGGAGCAGUUCCUCACGACCAUCCAUUGCAGAUGCGCAGACAUGGCGGCGGCUUCUCUCGCAGCGGCCUCAGGGGCAAUUUAAAAGGUCCGCGCUGCGUUUAUGAGCUGUAACACGCACCACCGAGAAGGUCUGCAGCUUCACUGCAGAAGCCAGUGAGACCACAAACCUACCGAAAGUAAGAAACUCUGGACACAUGUGAACAUCUGAGGGAACAAACUCCGGACACACCAUCUUUCAGAACUGUAACACUCACCGCGAGCGUCGGCGGCUUGGUUCUUGAAGUCAGCGAGACCAAGAACCCACCAAUUCCGAACACUCUCCCUCUGAUGAAGUACCUCAAAAGCUAAGCUCCCAUCAAUCCUGGAGAGAUAGAAUCAGCAGAGCAUAGUGGCAGAAUGAAUGGUUUAAAAGGAACAGCAGCGACCAAAGAACUUUUUAUGCAGAGAAACCCCAAAUCUGGGGCAAAGCCCUCCUGUUCAUUUUAUCUCACACAAGGUAGGUAGUGCUGCCUGUCAAGGUAAUGCAUUACUACACUAUUUGGAAAAACUACAGUUCUAAUUAGAUGAGCAAAUAAAUGUUCAUUUCAAUUUAUUAAUAUAGCUGUAGGCCUUGUUACAAUUUAUCUCCCGGUUUUGAGACCAAUCCAUCUCGAGCUGGGAAUCAUUGUGGUGAAGUAACGGGUUUUAAUAAUGGAUACAGGCAGUGAAUUAUUCAGGCAGAAGGGAGCAAGCCUUGAUGCCUUCACUCACUUCUUUAAUUAACUGUGAGAUGCUGACGAGUCUGGGCUGUCUCGAGGCUUUCUAAGUUUGUCUGCAUCAGAACUGUGAAUUUUUCUUGGGCCAUAGAUAUGUUGUGCUUUCAGGUCUAUGCAUAGCCAAGAAGUGACACCAGCUAUCAUAUUCUCAUUUUGUCUUCUUAUAUUCUCAAUUCUGUGUCUGCUUAAAUAUUAUUUUCCUGCAACUUCUUGAGCAACGAACAUUUUUCUUGACAAAAUGAACAUCUUUGCUCUACUGCACUUCUGGAUAAGACUUCAACACAUGAAAAUCCAAGAUAUUUCAAUUCUCAUAUAAGUUUGGGAACUAAUCAAUAAAC
rnacentral:lncRNA from 1 species